rnacentral:rRNA from 1 species
GGUGAACGCUGGCGGCGGGCCUAACACAUGCAAGUCGAACGGAAGCACAGGGAGAGUUCGCCCUUAAGGGUGGCGGGGGGCGGGGGGGUGAGGCAUGGAUAAGCAUCCACUUUGUCGGGGGUGACAACGUGGAGACGGAUACGAUAAUACCGAAUAUAAUGAACCGGAGGGAGCAAUAGAUCAAGGGAGCUUUGGCGAUUGGUUGAGCCGAUGUCGCAUUAGCUAGUUGGGGGGGUAAAGGCACACCAAGGCAACGAUGCGUAGCGGACCUGAGAGGGUGAUCGGCCACACUGGAACUGAGACACGGUCCAGACUCCUACGGGAGGCAGCAGUAGGGAAUCUUCCGCAAUGGGCGCAAGCCUGACGGAGCCACGCCGCGUGAGUGAUGAAGGUCUUCGGAUCGUAAAACUCUGUUAUUAGGGAAGAACAAAUGUGUAAGUAACUAUGCACGUCUUGACGGUACCUAAUCAGAAAGCCCCGGCUAACUACGUG